ensembl:lncRNA
GCUUUGUGAAGAAGGGAGACAAGGAGCCCCAGGGUGACAAGGCAGCUCUUUGUCCUCUUGUCCAGGCCUCAAGGACCAUGGCCCCUUCAGGAAGGCCAAACGACUGUCAAGAGACCUCUCCAGCACUGUUCAAAAGCAUCAAUUCUUUGGUGCUUAGCCUGAAGAAGGCAGAAAUGUGAAUAAAAACCCUAUCCUGUACAGUGCUUCAUUUUUCUUCCAUGCACCCACAAUGCUGGCUCCAUUCUCCUGUCUUGGCUUCACUCCAGGGUGCUGAUGUGAUCUUCCAGGGCCGAACCAGGCUGAACCCUAAGAAGACACUGCAGUUUCUGCCUUCAAGUUUGGCACAAUAUAAUUUGAAAUUCAGCUUUAUGCUGUGGCCACCAUGCUGUAAGGAAGCCCAAGCUAGUCACCUGGAGAGAAGGAGGCUACUGGAGAAACUCUGGGACACUGGAUAUACACGAGUGAAGCCUUUGGACUAUCCAUCCCAGCAGAGCCACCAGCAGAAUCAGCCAAGUGGAUGAUUACAACCAAUAGCUCUGUCACAAAGAGCAGAACCACCCAGCUGAGUCCUGACAAAUUCCUGACCUAAAGGAUCACGAGGAAUAAUUACU